rnacentral:rRNA from 1 species
AUUGAGCGCUGGCGGCAUGCCUUACACACGCAAGUCGAACGGCAGCACGGGUGCUUGCACCUGGUGGCGAGUGGCGAACGGGUGAGUAAUACAUCGGAACGUACCUUAUCGUGGGGGAUAACGCAGCGAAAGCUGUGCUAAUACCGCAUACGCCCUGAGGGGGGAAAGCGGGGGAUCGAAAGACCUCGCGCGACUAGAGCGGCCGAUGCCUGAUUAGCUUGUUGGUGGGGUAAAAGCCCACCAAGGCGACGAUCAGUAGCUGGUCUGAGAGGACGAUCAGCCACACUGGGACUGAGACACGGCCCAGACUCCUACGGGAGGCAGCAGUGGGGAAUUUUGGACAAUGGGGGCAACCCUGAUCCAGCAAUGCCGCGUGAGUGAAGAAGGCCUUCGGGUUGUAAAGCUCUUUUGUCAGGGAAGAAACACCGGCUCUAACACAGUCCGGGAAUGACGGUACCUGAAGAAUAAGCACCGGCUAACUACGUGCCAGCCGCCGCCGUAA